GACUGCUUCCUGUGUUUAGGGGGCCGCCGUUCGCGUGAAGGUCUGGAGUCUCUGAGUUCGAGGGUUUGGAGGCGCCACCUUUUGAUCCUUCGCUAUGGGAGUGACGUGUGUGUCCCAGAUGCCUGUGGCUGAGGGCAAGAGUCUCCAGCAGACAGUGGAGCUCCUCACCAAGAAACUGGAGAUGCUUGGAGCAGAGAAACAAGGGACAUUUUGUGUGGACUGUGAGACUUACCACACAGCUGCCUCUACCCUGGGCAGCCAAGGCCAGGCUGGGAAGCUGAUGUACGUGAUGCAUAACUCUGAGUACCCACUGAGCUGCUUUGCCCUCUUUGAGAAUGGCCCUUGCCUCAUUGCUGACACCAACUUCGAUGUGCUUAUGGUGAAGCUCAAGGGCUUCUUCCAGAGUGCCAAGGCCAGCAAGAUUGAGACCCGGGGCACUCGCUACCAGUAUUGUGACUUCCUGGUGAAGGUGGGCACGGUCACAAUGGGGCCCAGUGCCCGUGGCAUCUCUGUGGAGAUUAAGACAGUGGCGACUGCGCUAAAACAUGGAUAGAUGCAAACAUGUAGGGCGGUUACGGCUCGCCCAGGACCACUCCAUCCUGAAUCCCCAGAAGUGGUGCUGUCUGCAGUGCGCCACCACCGAGUCUGCGUGGGCCUGCCUCAAGUGCUCCCACGUGGCCUGCGGCCGCUACAUUGAAGACCAUGCACUAAAACACUUUGAAGAGACAGGACACCCGCUGGCCAUGGAGGUCCGGGACCUCUACGUGUUCUGCUACCUGUGCAAGGACUACGUGCUCAAUGACAACCCGGAGGGGGACCUGAAGUUGCUGAGAAGCUCCCUCCUGGCAGUUCGAGGCCAGAAGCAGGACCUGCUCGCCAGGCGUGGGCGGACGCUGCGGUCCACAGCUGCGGGCGAGGACGUGGUCCCGCCACAGCGCACUCCUCAGGGACAGCCGCAGAUGCUCACGGCUCUGUGGUACCGGCGCCAGCGCCUGCUGGCCAAGACGCUGCGGCUCUGGUUCCAGAAGAGCUCCCGCGGCCGGGCGCAGCUGGAGCAGCGGCGGCAGGAGGAGGCGCUGGAGCGCAAGAAGGAGGCGGCGCGGCAGCGGCGCCGCGAGGUCAAGCGGCGGCUGCUGGAGGAGCUGGCCAGUGCGCCGCCGCGGAAGAGUGCGCGCCUGCUCCUGCACGCUCCCGGGCCCGUGGCCGUGCGCCCUGCCACCCUCGCUACCUCCCGGCGCUUGUCCGCAGCUGCCCUCAAUCCGCGCCGCCAGCCGGCGGUGGCCCCAGGUGUCACCGGCCUGCGCAACCUGGGGAAUACCUGCUACAUGAACUCCAUCCUCCAAGUGCUCAGCCACCUCCAGAAGUUCCGGGAAUGUUUCCUGAACCUCGACCCUUCCACCUCCGAGCACCUGUUUCCCCAAGCAACCAACGGGAAGGCGCAGCUCUCUGGUAGGCCAGCCAGCAGCUCUGCCGCAGAGUUGUCAGUAAGGAGUGUCCGGGCCCAGGGCUGCGAACCUCAGGGCCUCUGCUGGAGCAGCGGAGCCUCCAUCAGCAGGAGCCUGGAGCUCAUUCAGAACAAGGAACCCAGCUCAAAGCACAUUUCCCUCUGCCACGAACUGCACACCCUCUUCCGAGUCAUGUGGUCUGGGAAGUGGGCGCUGGUAUCACCCUUUGCCAUGCUUCACUCCGUGUGGAGCCUGAUUCCCGCCUUCCGUGGCUACGACCAGCAGGAUGCGCAGGAAUUUCUCUGCGAACUGCUGCACAAGGUGCAGCAGGAACUUGAGUCUGAGGGUUCCACACGCAGGAUCCUCAUCCCAUUCUCCCAGAGGAAGCUCACCAAACAGGUCUUAAAGGUGGUGAACACCAUAUUUCAUGGGCAGCUGCUCAGUCAGGUCACAUGUAUAUCAUGCAAUUAUAAAUCCAAUACCAUUGAGCCCUUUUGGGAUCUGUCCCUGGAAUUCCCUGAACGAUACCACUGCAUAGAAAAGGGGUUUGUCCCUUUGAAUCAGACAGAGUGCCUGCUCACUGAGAUGCUAGCCAAGUUCACCGAGACAGAGGCCCUGGAGGGGAGAAUCUACGCUUGUGACCAGUGUAACAGCAAACGACGAAAGUCCAACCCCAAACCCCUUGUUCUGAGUGAAGCUAGGAAGCAGUUAAUGAUCUACAGACUACCUCAGGUCCUCCGGCUACACCUUAAAAGAUUCAGGUGGUCUGGCCGUAACCAUCGUGAGAAGAUUGGGGUCCAUGUCAUCUUUGACCAGGUAUUAACCAUGGAACCUUACUGCUGCAGGGACAUGCUCUCCUCUCUUGACAAAGAGACCUUUGCCUAUGAUCUCUCCGCAGUGGUCAUGCAUCACGGGAAAGGGUUUGGCUCAGGACACUACACAGCCUAUUGCUACAACACAGAGGGAGGUUUUUGGGUCCACUGCAAUGACUCAAAGCUGGAUGUAUGCAGUGUCGAGGAAGUGUGCAAAACCCAGGCCUACAUUCUUUUUUACACUCGAAGAACAGUUCAGGGCAGCGCAAAACUCUCAGAACCCCAUCUCCAAGCUCAGGUGCACUCCAGCAGCAAGGACGAACGCAGAACAUACACAUUGCCCUGACUGGGAGGCAAGCAUCAAAACGGCCUCCAGGUCUCCUCUUGGGCUUGCCAGGAACAGAUCCCUGGGUUUGCCUCACUGGUCUAGGGGAGACAAUGCCCUAUGAUUCCUGCUCUGUCAAAAAAUUGGUAGUCACUUUCUUGUGAAACCAUGCAAAUCCCCUUCUCUCAUAAAAACACUAUAAAGGAGCAGCUUCUAUGAAGAUCCUUUUGUCAGUUGCUUCUGGAUAACAGGGAUCUGGGUAGAGGAGACAGGGUAAGUCAUCAGCCAACCAGGAGAGCAAGCAUGUCUGUCUCUGUUGUGAGUCCCCUACUAAUGAGGCCCUUCCCAAAGCACUGCACAGAGUACAUGAGGCCCUGGGCUGACAGCUGGCGGGAAAGACCGGUUCUGACUCAGGUGAAGUCACAGGAGUUACUCACACUAAAAAGGUAAUAUACCAUCCAGGGGCAUAGCUUGCAGACUUUCUUUUUUAGGAGAGAGCAGCUGAAGGGUGAGGGGCAAGGAGCAGACUUCCUCCAUGCCAAUGGGAAGGCUGUCUGUCAUGGCUCAGUUUCUCCUGAACUGCUGUCACCUCAUCACUCCACACAGCGAGGCCGAGGCUUGAGCCACCCCUUCCUUCAGAAGAGGCAGUCAGAAGGACACAGACCUGUGUGUGCAUGGUCUAUACGUGUUAUGCCGUGGACACUCCUGACUUCCCCAGUCCUGUAGCAAGGCCUGGGCUCAAAGUCAUGGUUUGGUUUAGAUUGGUUUUUGGAUCAGUUGUCAGAAGCCUUCUCAGAAUGCAGUGAAGAUGAGAUGAGCUUGUCUGAAUGCCUGCUGUCCCUAAGGCUGCCCCUAAGGUCCCGCCCACCUGUGUGGCAUGAAGCUUCGUUCUUGCCCCUAGAACAUCAGUGCCCACAGGCUUCAGGAGCUUUUACUGCCCUAGUGUGUGAGCAGUGCUUAGGGACUGACUGGAUCGUUUGCUUGUGGCCCUUGCCUGCUGUAUCCCAGCGCUGUUUAUCCACCUCUGCUGCUUUGUCCGUGAGGAAUAGAGCAAGACUCGUCUGUUACUCUGGUAUUAGUGAAAACACAUCUCUAAAAUUGACUCCAUCUCUAUGGGAUUCAGGUGCUCAGAGCCUUCCUCCCUAUCAGGCACAGUAAGCUUCUUUCUCUUUGCAGUGGCUACUGCAGUGCCCCACAGCCUCCCGUGAAUGCUCUCUUUUGGUUAAGUAGCUCGGGUUAACGUUUGAGCUCAGGCAGAGCAGUUAUCACUCAAUGGGGGGAGGCAACGGAGGCAUGGCCACACUUCAGGCACAUCUGUGGUAUUUACUGCUGUUCUCCUUUGAGGUGAGCUCUCAGUGGGCCUGCCAGACAUCAGACAUGGAAGAAAUCAGAGUGGCUCAUCCUGAUAGGGACGACGUGCUGGAUUCAAACAACACUGUGAGGUUUCUGUAGUAUUUAGCUUUUCUUUGGAAGCGAUACCGUAAGGCAUUUUUGUGCUGUUUGGUUUUUACUGUCUGUGGCAGGCUUUUCUGUGAGCUUUGCUCAGGCUCCUCCUCUCCUGGACACUGUUGUCAGGUGUCCCAGUUGCCCACACUGCCUGAGGCUCUGACGUAAAGCUGUACCCCUUCAGGGAGGCCGACAUUACUAGCACAGCAUGACGGUGAUGAUUUGUUACCACUGUAGGAAAGCCCAUUCAAAAAGAAAGCCAUGUGUGCUGGAACACUCCUGUAAGGCCAGCACUUGUCAGGCUGAGGCAGGAGGAUCAUGAGUUUGAAGCUACACUGUGAGGCCCUGUUUGAAAAACAAAACUAGCAAACUAGUGAAAAGGACUGGAUUGCACCUCACCUGAAACCCUGUGUUGUUUAUUCCAGAAAGAGAAUUUGCAGGCAGAGAAUACAGAUCUGCCUGUCUAGAGGGGAAACACAUUAAUCACUAUAAACACCUACAGGAACAUUAAAGGAUUCUUACCCAACUUUUAAGAAGAGUUUUAUAGCAGCUAUCAGCAGGACUGUGGCAAGGCCUCUCGAGUCCAUGAUUGUAUGAGGUCCCUGCUCUGGCUAUGCCUUCAGCUCCAUCCACAUUCAGGGGACGAACCAAUGAGGUGGACUGGCCGGCAGUGCCCGAGUAAGCCGAGAGGUCCAUGGUGAAGAAUGAAAACUUUGGGGGCGGGGGGUGGGAGGAUAUCUGAUAUUUGUUUUACUGAUAAAGCUUUGUGAACUAAUUUUCUACAAUUCAUAAAAUUUGGUGCCUUGUACUUGAUUGUGGUUUGCAUGAGAGUUAAGGGGAGGGCUCCUUUUCGUUAUGGGUCUGUAGUGUUUAAAGGAUACGUGCUAUCAGAUUUUUAGAGCAUUCCUUUCUUUGUCUUAUUACGAAUGUAAAUUGUUCUUACCAGCAAGUUCUAGAGUUUUACUGUCCAAACUGUAUUUGUAAUCAAUCAUUCAUCAAAUGUCUGACUACUACCACUGUUGUUCACUGCCUUUUGUUCAUGCCUAACAUUUAUGCUGGCCUUUUCUGGAGGGUGACCCUUUCUUGAAUGUCUAUCACAUCCUAUAUGGCGUUGCAGCUUAUGUGAGCAAGGGUUUCCGGUUAGUUGGGAGAGCACAAAUGAUGAGAAAAGGCUUUCUCUAAAUCACGAUGAAGCUAGGUGACCAAUGGCAGUAGAGUCUGCGUUAACACUGGGGUCCUUCUGCAUGAACCAUCAGGAAGCAGUGUCAAAACAAUGCGCACAUGUGAACCUUCAGACUGUAAGACAAGCCACUGUGUACUAUGCAGUGAAUCAUGGAGAAAUGACCCGUCUCCACCAUCCUCAACACUUCUCGGGCAGAUGACAACCUGGACAGUGCUGACUGGCUGAGGAAGGUAGUGAGACUCAAGUGUGUUCGUCAGGGCCAGUCCCAGCCAGUUCUUUCACUCCAAGCUUGAAGUUUCUGUUGAACUUGUGAGACUUCACCAAGUGUUCAUGAAUUUACCAUGCAAAGCAUACGCGGUAACUGGGUCCCUCGCUUCGUUCCUAGAGUAAUUAGGUGAAGAGUUUUAUCUUUGGGGUGAAAUUUUCUAGGGUCACUUGAUUUUUUGUCAGCUAAGUGUGGGUCUCACAGGUGGGUCAUUUUUGUCAAUACUAAAGCUGAAAAGCACCUUCUCAGAACUGUGAGCUUCGCCUCUCUUCUACAUUCCUCUGCUCUCCAUCCAGUCUGUCACUGUAACUAUGAUGUACCGUCAACCCAUGCUCCACUCUACACCAAGGCUCAGUAGCUAUGAGUCAGGGGGGUCACUUUGUGAGACCUGCCCAUGCUUAAGUUGGCAUCUUUCACUUAAAAAUACAACUAGCAGCUGGGGAAAUGCUCAUUGCUAGAGCACUUAGCACUCGAGGCCCUGGGUUUCACCCAGCUCCACUAAGCCAGCUUAAAUGAAACUGCCCAACCAGCAUCAUGGCGUCAAAGAACAACAGUAAAGUUACUUGGAAUUAAAUCUUAGGUUCUGAAUGAAGCUUCAGUUAAGCUCUGAAAGCUGUCAUGUCUUAAGUUUUUGUCUCAUCUGGCUUUUAACUUAAAUCUUGUCAUUAACUGCUCAAUUAUGGGAUCAUGGCACACUUUAAGGUUUUAUUCCUCCAGAAAUCAGUUGCUCUUUCCUAGUGUAGCCAAAAUCAUGUGGGUUCUAAGUCUCACACACUGUUUACAAGGCUGCUUCCUGGUCACCUUUUGGGGCUCUGCAAGUAAUGGCUUCAAACCCAAGCUUUGUCCUCGAGUUCAUACUCAUGACCCUGGCUCCCCAGCCCUAUUGUUUUUUUUUAAAAAAGGAAGUCUCAGUGUGUAGCCCUGGCUAACCUGGAACUCACUAUGUAGGACAGGCUGGCCUUAGAGAUACAUAGCUUCUGGGAUUAAGUGUGUGCCACCAGGCCUCCAGCCUGCCUCUUCAGAGUAUCUGUAAUCCCAGGGUAAAUUCUAGGCCUGAGUUCCCUCAUAGGGUGUUUCUCCUAGCCAUCCCCACUCAGGUCCUACCUGCUAAAGAUUCACAAGAGAAUGGCAACCCCCGUCCUAUGCAUGACUAGGCACGUGGCUCAGUAGGGUGCUUGCCUAGCAAGCAUAAAGCCCAGAGUCUGAUGCUAGCACCACAUAAAAUCAGGCAUAGUAAAGCCUUGAAUCCUAACCUGUACCUGUGAUCCUAAGAGUCGGUUCAUGGAAACAGCAAAAUAAGCAGUUCAUGACCAUCUUCAACUAUGUAGCUAAGUUUGAGGCCAGCCUGGACUACAGACCAGCACAAGAACCAGAUAUCUCCCCCUCCCCCCCCCCCCCCCGCAAAAGAACAAAAAACAAACACUUUUAAUUAUGCCUCCCCCAACCCCAAUUAUUUUCUGGAGGUCAAAUUGAAGCCUUUUCUGCAAUGAGCUAUACUGGUAGGCCUCAGAGAACUGACUGGAUGAGCUAUGUGCCAGCAGGUCCAGGAAAGCUGCUUUGUCUUUUUCCUUUUUUAAGUAACAUCUGUAACAGUCAUGCAGCUAUGACCCAGACACACUAAUCCUUUCCGACGCAUGCUGUGACCCACAACCAGUUCCAAAGCGGCUGGUGCAUAAAAAAAGUUUUAAAAUACCCAGUCAAUUGACUACAUGAAACUAUGGAGACCCCGUCUCUACCGCCACCUGGUUCCCUGGUACAGGAGUCUUUCUGUGCUGGUUUCUGCGUGCCUGGAAGAACACCAGACAGCAGCACCAGUGUGAAUUUCAGGGUAGGGAGCACCUUUGUUUGUGAAGGAAGCUGCUUCCUUGUGCUCCCUGACACGUUUGUCUCCACCCACACAUCACUGUCCACUCCUGCCACCAGGUCUCACUCUAUCCCAACAAUGCCUCCCUGGUCCCUGGAGAACCCACCUGGCAAACUAAAACGACAACCACCACCUUCUUCCUACAGGAAGACUCAGCAGUAGGAACUGCUCAAGAAUCAGCUUUGCGGCACGUGUGCAUCCCUGGGAAGUGGGUGGUCCCAUUCCCAUUUCAUCUCCACUGCAGAUCAUGUUUGGGGCUCAUGCCUGUCUCUUGAGUGUGAAAUACAAGUCAUGUUUAUUUGAUUUUUGUAAGCGGACUUUUUACACCUUGUUUUUGUAAUAAGUUUCUUAUUAAAAGAAUAAAAUACCUGUC